UACGAAGGGUGCAAGCGUUACUCGGAAUUACUGGGCGUAAAGGGUGCGUAGGUGGUUUUUUAACUCCGUUGUGAAAUCCCUGGGCUCAACCUGGGAAUGGCAGUGGAUACUGGAAAGCUAGAGUGCGGUAGAGGGUAGUGGAAUUCCCGGUGUAGCAGUGAAAUGCGUAGAGAUCGGGAGGAACACCAGUGGCGAAGGCGGCUACCUGGACCAGCACUGACACUGAGGCACGAAAGCGUGGGGAGCAAACAGG
rnacentral:rRNA from 1 species